UGUCUCAAUUCUCCCGUUUUAAAGAUGUAAAUGGGACAUCAUAUUAAAAUAUGAUGCAAGAGCAUUUCACUUUUGUCUGUUUCAUCAUCAAAACAAGAAAAUGAGUUGCCAUGACAAGUCCAUCCGAUGUUGAAACCUGAUAUCAUUGGCAUGAAUUAGUAAGGUGGAUGACCGUCUGUUUUGGAGCUGCACUCUGAUAAGGUGCUUUUCAAAUUAGAUAUUGCAAAAGAACAAUCACCACCUUUCUGCCAUGGAGAGCUGUAGUGUGACCCUAUGAGUCACGACUUGCCAUACUACUUGGAAAAGCUCCAAGUGUGCAAGAAGUCAGCUUCCCACCGAACAAUGGACGUCUAGAUUUUUUUAGACCUAAUUUCAACCGUCGAGAUGCCGUCUGUUUUUACACGGAAUUUAGACGUUGUAGUUUAAUUAUUCUAUAACUAUUUAUUUAAAAAAAACAACUGUAAGGUGCAUAGCUAAUAUCCAAAUACUGAAAUAAAAUAAUUAUGAUAGCCGUUGAGCGACAUUCAGUAUAGUAUAAAUAUAUCCGACAUUUAGAUGUUUAAAUCUCUACCGCAUUUCAACGUCUACAUGUACACCGAAUCUAGACAACUGAAUUUAAUCCAUCACUCAAACGUUGUUAAUUUAAAACAAUAGCUGCAUGUUGCAUAACUGUUGUCCAAAUACAGAACUAAUAUAAUUCUGAUGGCCCUUGAGCGAUAUUCAGUAUAGUAUAAAUUUAGCCGAGAUUUAUACGUUUAAAUAUCUACCACAUUUCAACGUCUAGAUAUACACCGAAUCUAGACAACUGAAUUCAAUCCAUCAUUCAAAAGUAGUUAAUUUAAAAAACAACUCUAAGGUGCAUAGCUAAUCUCCAAAUGCUGAACUAAUAUAAUUCUGAUAGCCGUUGAGCGAUAUUCAGUAUAGUAUAAAUUUAGCCGAGAUUUAUACGUUUAAAUAUCUACCGCAUUUCAACGUCUAGAUACAGACAGAAUCUAGACAACUGAAUUAAAUCCAUCAUUCAAAAGUUUUUUAUUUAAAACAAUAACUGUAUGUUGCAGAACUGAACUUCAACUACUGAACUGAUAUAACUAUGAUAGCCGUUGAGCAAUAUACAGUCCAGUCUAAAUAUAUCAGAGAUUUAGACGUCUAAAUCUCUACUGCGUUUCAACAUUUAGACAUAGACCGAAUAUAGACAACAGAAUUUUAUCCAUCAUUUAAUAUUUUUUUAUUUAAAACAAUAAAUGCAUGUUGCACAACUGAUCUCCAAACACUGAACUAAACCAUUUAUGAUAGCCGUUAAGCGAUAUCGCUUAUAGACCGAAUUUCAACAAAUUAAUUUUAUCCAAAGUUAUUUAUUUAAAACAAUAACUGUUGCAGAACUGAUCUCUUGAUAUUGGACUAAAAUCAUUUUAUUAGACAUAAUCGCUAUAAACUAGAGUCUAUAUGUAGACGUCUACUAUUCCGCUUUUCAACGCCGACACCAUUCAGAGGUAUGUAUUUUAAAUCUUCGGAAAAUAAAAGAAACAAUAAUCUAAUGGAAUAUAGCCAGCUCUUUCCAUGUACAGCGCCAUCUUGGCUUCUAUGUUGACAAAGAUGCAGGUGAAGCACGCUCACGUGACGCACCGUGCAACCACUUCCUGGCAAAGGAAAAAGUUUCGAAGAAGUAAAUUUGACCUCAUUCGGCGGUUAAGAGGUGGGUGCUGAAGCAGAUACUAUAGAAAAAUGUUUAAUUUUGCAAUGUUUGGUCCUUAUACAAUCAUGCUUCAGUUUAGCAUUUGCAUGCAUCGUGUGUCGGUUGAUAGCAUGAGGGCCAGCUAGCGAGUUGCUAGUUUAGCCAGUGUGGGCCAUCGACAAGUGGGGAACUUCGUUUGUUUUCAACCUGGUGUCUGUUUUCAUAUGUCAUUUCAUACAUGUGAGUGACGGAGAAAGGAUUUUUCAACAUAGCUCCAGUAUUUAGCCAGGCAGGCAGCUUCGCAGCUCAGCUAGCGAAAAGAAUGGGGCAACUUGCCCCCCACGUCAAAGUCCGCCCUAACGUGCUUUUAAUCCCCCACAUUGACCGGCUCGGAUAGUCUGAACGAGUGUCUCACAACACUGAGAGUGAACGAAAACCUGGAGUUGAGCUCAAUUUUGUUGUAUGUGUGAAGUUAAGCUGCUGUUUUUUUGUAGACUGAUGUCAGGGAAUGUUUGACUUUGCAUCCUAUCAUAAAUGGAAGCCAUUGUGUGUAUAGCUUUGAGGUAAAGAUUAAUGAGCUGUUCAUUCUUUUUUCAUGGUUUCUGCAGACUAGAGUUGUCUAGCUUUUUGUUUUUGUUUUUCCUUUUUCUUCAACUUUUCUCUACAAAUGUUCAUUAUUUAUGUUAGCAUGUGCUGUCCUUGCUUUGUACAAAGUCCUGAUGAUUAAGAGGAUCACCUACAGGUCAGAUUUGUAAAGCAAUUUUAUUUUUGUAGGCCAAGAGCAACCCAACUCUCCAGAUUUGUUUGAACAACCGGAAACAUCAGUAGAUCUUUCAAAAUCAUGGCAGCCUUCACCCGACAGUUCAUUGACUCAGAUAUCCUGCGAUUCACCAUCCAGUCCAAAAACUAUUUUGACCCCCUCUGCAUUCCUCUACACCGGGUAUAAUUUAUAUGUUUAUUAUAUUCAAAUUAUUCCCCUGGUUAUUAGAUCAUUUAAAUUUAAUGACUGUCUAAUGGCCAAAAAUAACAUUGUUCUCCACUAAGUAUUAAAACCUGUGUUGGUGAAACAAUGAUUAGCAGCAGGAGAGGACAAAAUACAUAAAUGCAAUGCUGAAUAUAAUAAUUUUUGUAUGCGUCUCUCUCCUAGCAGAGCUCCGAACACCCCAGUAGUAUCCUGGAGGGCCUGUGAUAGACGGCGCAGUCCUGUGAUGACCCGUGCC